rnacentral:rRNA from 1 species
AUUGAACGCUGGCGGCAUGCCUUACACAUGCAAGUCGAACGGCAGCACGGGUUCUUGCACCUGGUGGCGAGUGGCGAACGGGGGAGUAAUACAUCGGAACAUGUCCUGUAGGGGGGGAUAGCCCGGCGAAAGCCGGAUUAAUACCGCAUAAGAUCUACGGUUGAAAGCGGGGGACCGUCUGACCUCGCGAUUUGCGUUUGGCAGAUGGCUGAUUAGCUAGUUGGUGGGGUAAAGGCCUACCAAGGCGACGAUCAGUAGCUGGUCUGAGAGGACGACGAGCCACACUGGGACUGAGACACGGCCCAGACUCCUACGGGAGGCAGCAGUGGGGAAUUUUGGACAAUGGGCGAAAGCCUGAUCCAGCAAUGCCGCGUGUGGGAAGAAGGCCUUCGGGUUGUAAAGCACGUUUGUCCGGAAAGAAAUCCUUGGCCCUAAUACGGUCGGGGGAUGACGGUACCGGAAGAAUAAGCACCGGCUAACUACGUG